AUUGAACGCUGGCGGCAUGCCUUACACAUGCAAGUCGAACGGUAACAGGUCUUCGGAUGCUGACGAGUGGCGAACGGGUGAGUAAUACAUCGGAACGUGCCCGAGAGUGGGGGAUAACGAGGCGAAAGCUUUGCUAAUACCGCAUACGAUCUCAGGAUGAAAGCAGGGGACCGCACGGCCCUGCGCUCACGGAGCGGCCGAUGGCAGAUUAAGUAGUUGGUGGGAUAAAAGCUUACCAAGCCGACGAUCUGUAGCUGGUCUGAGAGGACGACCAGCCACACUGGGACUGAGACACGGCCCAGACUCCUACGGGAGGCAGCAGUGGGGAAUUUUGGACAAUGGGCGCAAGCCUGAUCCAGCCAUGCCGCGUGCAGGAUGAAGGCCUUCGGGUUGUAAACUGCUUUUGCACGGAACGAAAAGACUCUGGUUAAUACCUGGGGUCCAUGACGGUACCGUAAGAAUAAGCACCAGCUAACUACGUGCCAGCAGCCGCAGUAAUAC
rnacentral:rRNA from 1 species